rnacentral:rRNA from 15 species
AAAUUGAAGAGUUUGAUCAUGGCUCAGAUUGAACGCUGGCGGCAGGCCUAACACAUGCAAGUCGAACGGUAACAGGAAGCAGCUUGCUGCUUCGCUGACGAGUGGCGGACGGGUGAGUAAUGUCUGGGAAACUGCCUGAUGGAGGGGGAUAACUACUGGAAACGGUGGCUAAUACCGCAUAACGUCGCAAGACCAAAGAGGGGGACCUUCGGGCCUCUUGCCAUCAGAUGUGCCCAGAUG